rnacentral:rRNA from 1 species
AACGAACGCUGGCGGCAGGCUUAACACAUGCAAGUCGAACGCCCCGCAAGGGGAGUGGCAGACGGGUGAGUAACGCGUGGGAAUCUACCGUACCCUACGGAAUAACGCAUGGAAACGUGUGCUAAUACCGUAUACGCCCUACGGGGGAAAGAUUUAUCGGGGUAUGAUGAGCCCGCGUUGGAUUAGCUAGUUGGUGGGGUAAAGGCCUACCAAGGCGACGAUCCAUAGCUGGUCUGAGAGGAUGGUCAGCCACAUUGGGACUGAGACACGGCCCAAACUCCUACGGGAGGCAGCAGUGGGGAAUAUUGGACAAUGGGCGCAAGCCUGAUCCAGCCAUGCCGCGUGAGUGAUGAAGGCCCUAGGGUUGUAAAGCUCUUUCACCGAUGAAGAUAAUGACGGUAGUCGGAGAAGAAGCCCCGGCUAACUUCGUGCCAGCCGCCGCCGUAAUAC